UACGUAGGGUGCAAGCGUUAAUCGGAAUUACUGGGCGUAAAGCGUGCGCAGGCGGUGAUGUAAGACAGUUGUGAAAUCCCCGGGCUCAACCUGGGAACUGCAUCUGUGACUGCAUUGCUGGAGUGCGGCAGAGGGGGAUGGAAUUCCGCGUGUAGCAGUGAAAUGCGUAGAUAUGCGGAGGAACACCGAUGGCGAAGGCAAUCCCCUGGGCCUGUACUGACGCUCAUGCACGAAAGCGUGGGGAGCAAACAGG
rnacentral:rRNA from 1 species